GUCUACGGCCAUGCCUCCCUAAAUGUGCUCAAUCUCAUCUGAUCUUGGAAGCUAAGCAGGGUCAGGCUUGGUUAAUACUUGGAUGGGAGACCACCUAGGAAGACUAGGUGCUGCGGGCA
rnacentral:rRNA from 1 species